ACUUAAAUUGAAGAGUUUGAUCAUGGCUCAGAUUGAACGCUGGCGGCAGGCCUAACACAUGCAAGUCGAGCGGUAGCACAGAGAGCUUGCUCUCGGGUGACGAGCGGCGGACGGGUGAGUAAUGUCUGGGAAACUGCCUGAUGGAGGGGGAUAACUACUGGAAACGGUAGCUAAUACCGCAUAACGUCGCAAGACCAAAGUGGGGGACCUUCGGGCCUCAUGCCAUCAGAUGUGCCCAGAUGGGAUUAGCUAGUAGGUGGGGUAACGGCUCACCUAGGCGACGAUCCCUAGCUGGUCUGAGAGGAUGACCAGCCACACUGGAACUGAGACACGGUCCAGACUCCUACGGGAGGCAGCAGUGGGGAAUAUUGCACAAUGGGCGCAAGCCUGAUGCAGCCAUGCCGCGUGUGUGAAGAAGGCCUUCGGGUUGUAAAGCACUUUCAGCGGGGAGGAAGGCGAUAAGGUUAAUAACCUUGUCGAUUGACGUUACCCGCAGAAGAAGCACCGGCUAACUCCGUGCCAGCAGCCGCGGUAAUACGGAGGGUGCAAGCGUUAAUCGGAAUUACUGGGCGUAAAGCGCACGCAGGCGGUCUGUCAAGUCGGAUGUGAAAUCCCCGGGCUCAACCUGGGAACUGCAUUCGAAACUGGCAGGCUAGAGUCUUGUAGAGGGGGGUAGAAUUCCAGGUGUAGCGGUGAAAUGCGUAGAGAUCUGGAGGAAUACCGGUGGCGAAGGCGGCCCCCUGGACAAAGACUGACGCUCAGGUGCGAAAGCGUGGGGAGCAAACAGGAUUAGAUACCCUGGUAGUCCACGCUGUAAACGAUGUCGAUUUGGAGGUUGUGCCCUUGAGGUGUGGCUUCCGGAGCUAACGCGUUAAAUCGACCGCCUGGGGAGUACGGCCGCAAGGUUAAAACUCAAAUGAAUUGACGGGGGCCCGCACAAGCGGUGGAGCAUGUGGUUUAAUUCGAUGCAACGCGAAGAACCUUACCUGGUCUUGACAUCCACAGAACUUUCCAGAGAUGGAUUGGUGCCUUCGGGAACUGUGAGACAGGUGCUGCAUGGCUGUCGUCAGCUCGUGUUGUGAAAUGUUGGGUUAAGUCCCGCAACGAGCGCAACCCUUAUCCUUUGUUGCCAGCGGUUAGGCCGGGAACUCAAAGGAGACUGCCAGUGAUAAACUGGAGGAAGGUGGGGAUGACGUCAAGUCAUCAUGGCCCUUACGACCAGGGCUACACACGUGCUACAAUGGCAUAUACAAAGAGAAGCGACCUCGCGAGAGCAAGCGGACCUCAUAAAGUAUGUCGUAGUCCGGAUUGGAGUCUGCAACUCGACUCCAUGAAGUCGGAAUCGCUAGUAAUCGUAGAUCAGAAUGCUACGGUGAAUACGUUCCCGGGCCUUGUACACACCGCCCGUCACACCAUGGGAGUGGGUUGCAAAAGAAGUAGGUAGCUUAACCUUCGGGAGGGCGCUUACCACUUUGUGAUUCAUGACUGGGGUGAAGUCGUAACAAGGUAACCGUAGGGGAACCUGCGGUUGGAUCACCUCCUUACCUUAAAGAA
rnacentral:rRNA from 1 species